ACCUGAAUCAGGUAGGCAGUGUAUUGUUAGCUGGCUGCUUGGGUCAAGUCAGCAGCCACAACUACCCUGCCACUUGCUUCUGGAUAAAUUCUUCU
rnacentral:pre_miRNA from 1 species